UACACUCCUACGGGAGGCAGCAGUGGGGAAUUUUGGACAAUGGGCGAAAGCCUGAUCCAGCAAUGCCGCGUGUGUGAAGAAGGCCUUCGGGUUGUAAAGCACUUUUGUCCGGAAAGAAAUCCUUGGCUCUAAUACAGUCGGGGGAUGACGGUACCGGAAGAAUAAGCACCGGCUAACUACGUGCCAGCAGCCGCGGUAAUACGUAGGGUGCGAGCGUUAAUCGGAAUUACUGGGCGUAAAGCGUGCGCAGGCGGUUUGCUAAGACCGAUGUGAAAUCCCCGGGCUCAACCUGGGAACUGCACUGGUGACUGGCAGGCUAGAGUAUGGCAGAGGGGGGUAGAAUUCCACGUGUAGCAGUGAAAUGCGUAGAGAUGUGGAGGAAUACCGAUGGCGAAGGCAGCCCCCUGGGCCAAUACUGACGCUCAUGCACGAAAGCGUGGGGAGCAAACAGGAUUAGAAACCCUAGUAGUCCCAUGAU
rnacentral:rRNA from 1 species